GGAGUUAGCAGCAGAAAGAAACUAUGUGCGAUGAAGGGUGGGGUGGGAAAAAGCACUCUCUUAUUAAAAUAUUUGUUAUGUAACUUCAACCAAUACACGUCACCUACUGAGUAAAGGAUAUUGUUCAUUCUGAGCAAUUACUCAAAUUGUUUCACAGUGUGUUCUAUUUAUUUGUAUGAGCAUGGUUAAUAUGCAAACUGGAUCAUCCCUUGGAAACCUGAAAGUGAAUUUUGUGAUAAUACAAGGAAUCCUAGGGUAAUCAUACCAGAUGUCUUCUGCAUGCCUUAAUUUACAAAUGCCAACAAUAAAAAGGAGGAAGAAGGAGCCAGGAAGAUUGGAUGCAGUAGCCACCAAGACGCCAAGUUAGAGUCAUGUGAAAGCUUUUUGCCAUAUAACUGACCACUGCCUUCCCAGCCAUCAACUCUUCUUUGAGCCGUUUUUUCUCCUUCUUUCUUACAACAACAACUCACUACCCUUCAACUUUAAACUUUCUGCAAAUAACAUAUGGGGAAGUUAUCACUGUCAAGCCUAGAUGUGUGGUGUUAUCGUUAAGUAUGAAACUGUGAUAGUGACUGCAAAGUACUAAAACUAUCCUAUAAAAUUGUGGAAAACAUCAGAAGAGGCCCUUGAGAUUUUGUCCUCCAGAAAAUACGACAACUACAUUCUCUACCCCUGCAAAAUCAGUGCACACAGUUUCUAAAGGAAUAAUGAACUUCUCUUUAAGGAAUAUGUAAAAUGCUCCAGUGUGUUGCUCCCCUCUAUGUGUCCAUGUGGUCUCAUCAUUUAGCUCCCACUUACAGGGUCUCUCUCUGUCACCAAACCUGGAGUGUAGUGAUGCGAUCAUGGCUUACUACACCCUCAACCUCCGGUGCUCAAGCCAUCCUCCCACCUCAGCCUGCUGAGUUGCUGGGACUACAGACUCAUGCCACCAUGCCUGUCUAAUUUUUGUAUUUUUUGUAGAGAUAAGGUUUUGCCAUGUUGCCUAGGCUGGCAAGUUAACUAUUAAAAAUGAAUGAUCUCAUGCUCAUAGCUUGCUGUCCAUUUUAAAUACAGUUAUCUGGCAACAUAAUUGGGUAGGCUCAAGGCUGGGCUAGGCACUUUUGUUACAGUGAUGAAUACAUCUAGGCAUACUAUGGAAACAAGAACAUAUUUAAUUCUAAGACCUGAUCAAACCAAUCUUGAAUCACCUAAUGUGUAAAGAACACGUGUUAAAUUGACAAAUUUCCCUUAGAAGUAUGGAACUAAUUCAAUAGCUUUUAAAAUAUUAUUUCCCCUAUCAAUCUAUUAGUCACUUUGGAGAGAUGUAAACAGCAAAGUCAGCAAGCAUUCUUUGAUAUCACAUGUAUAAUCUUGUUUUGAAAAACUGCUCCUGCCUAGUACAUCUUCUGGUGAUAAAUUUCUAGUGAAGAAAACAUCUGGUAAAACUUACUUAUCACCAUGGUCUCAUAAUGAAAAAUGGCAUCCUCAGGAAAAGAGUCUCCUAAAGAUGCAAUUUCUGGAACAAGGUUCUGUGAUAUCUAACAAUGCAACCCUGCAUCACUUCUCUUUACCCAGGCAUUAAAAACAAUUCUCAAUUUUCAAACAUACUGUAUGUCACAUGUGUUAUCGGCAAAUGUAUUUUUCCAUCAAAUAAACAUUACGGUAAUGAUUGGGUUGCCAGUCCAGUCACUACAAGCCUAUUUGAAUCACAAUGUACAGAAAUCUGUUAGGAAGACCACUCCACAAACUAUCCAUCAUGUGUAAGCAUGUUUCUCUUUAGGAAGUAUAUUAAAAAUUUCAUCCUGGACAACCAGAAAUACUUCCUGCUUCUUCCACUUCCCUAAUUUACUCAAAAACUGGGGCAUAUUACAAUUUCUUGCUCAGCAACCUGGCUCUCAUUUUUUAGGCUAAAGAAGUCAUCUAUCUGAACAGAAUCUAGAGGUCAGGACUGAAAUGAACACUUAGGCUGGAUAAAUGAAAAGAGGAAAGAGCUGAUAAGAGUAUUUGGACUACUGAUCCACUGAAAGUGUUUAGCACACACAAAAAAAUGUUUUUCCAUUUCUCCUGUCUGGCUUUAUCAUAGGUUGAACACCCCUUGUACAAUGAAUCCCAAUGCAAGAUUUUAAACCCAUCUGUUAAUUACAUACUUUUAAUAUUAUAACACUGUAAAGUUUUUUUGCAGUUUACCCAGAGAUAAAUUAUAUUAAGUAUGUAAAGUAAGUCAUUCAAUACUUUUUCUAGUAAAGAAUAGAAUGUGUAUGUAAUGGUUCACAGAUUUUGAAUCAUGCUGUAUAUACAGUUUUGUACUCACUGUCAAUGAAUAAUGAAGAUUUGCAUAUGAUAGUUUCUUAAUAUGAUUUUCAUUAGUGUAUAGUAUAAUAAUUAUUGGGCACAAUAUUUUUUAAAUUUAUUUAAUUUAAAUUGUAAUUUAAAUAUUAAUUUAAUUAAUCGAUUUAAUUUUAAUUAAUUUAAUUAAUUUGCACAAUUAUAACAUUAAUGAACACUAUUACACAUCAAGCUUUGUGUACUAAUUUUAUAUUUAUAAUAUUGGAAAAUUAGAAAUAAUGAGUAAAUAGAUACUUUAAAGCUUGGCAUAUAUAUUGACGUUUUUCAAUCCUAGCUUCACAUAAUUAUUUCGGAAGCUUUUAAAAAAUGUUACCUGCGUGUGCACUAUUAAAGUUUUAGUUUGAUCAAUCUCAGGUAGGACCCAAUUUCCCUUGCAUUUAAAAGUUCCCCAGGUGAUUCAAGUAUAAAUUCCAGCUAAAGGCUGAUAUUCACAUUAACAAAUUUAAGCAUAUCAAUUCACACUCCUCCAACAUUGUAAAAAUUGUCUAUUCAGUCUAAAAUUGUGUAUUAUCCUUAUUUUAACCUUGGUCAAGUAAGUGACAAUGGUAUCCAUUAUCAUCUUAAUUUGCAUUUUUUUAUUCAAACUGAAAAUUUUCCAAAAUAUUCGUUAUACAUUUGUAAUUUUCCUUUUAUUAAUUGCCUCUUCAUAUUCCAUGCCCAUUUGUUCACUUGCAAUGUUCAGGUUUUUAUUAUUGUCAACAAUAAUCUAUGAGAAUUAUUCUGCCAAAUACAGCAGAUCUGUCAUUUAUCUUUUAAUUUUGUUGAUGUUGCAGGUUAUAUAAAAAUGUAAAAUAAUUGAAUCUACUUUUUUCAUAUAGUUUUCUAUUAUUAUUAUUAUCCUCAUUUAAGCCAGAUGUCAGCUGAUAUCACUAUACUUCUUAAAACCAAACUAAAACCAUGCAUUUCGAAGUUUAUUUUCUUGUUCACCUCAGGCUCUAGGCUUCAGAUUCCAUCAAAUUAGUUCAAUUUAAUAAUCAUCUUACCAUCACCAUACUCAUUUGUAUAUCUGUGUGUAUGACUAUGUGUGUAUAUUAACUUCUAUACAAUUGUAUAAAUUAUGUAGGUUCAUGGAUUUCUCUUUUGUUUUUGAAUGGUCUUUUUCCUGGAUACAAUUUUUUUUCUUUUUUUUUUGAGAUGGAGUCUUCAUCUGUCGCCCAGGCUGGAGUGCAGUGGUGUGAUCUCGGCUCACUGCAACCUCCACUUCUCAGGUUCAAGCAGUUCUCCUGCCUCAGCUUCCUGAGUAGCUAGGACUACAGGCGCCCACCACCACGCCUGGCUAAUUUUUGUAUUUUUAGUAGAGACGGGGUUUCACCAUAUUGGCCAGGCUAGUCUCGAACUCCUGACCUUGUGAUCCGCCUGCCUCAGCCUCCCAAAGUCCUAGGAUUACAGAUGUAUCAUUGACUUUUAACCAGUUAAAGGUAUCACUCCAUUUUUUUCUAGUUUUUCCAGUUUGUGAUUAAAAGUCAGCGAUUAUUGUUAUGUUUUGUCUCAGUAUGUAAAGUAUCUUUUCUUUAUGGCUGUCGUCAAAAUAUUCACUAUUUUUUAUUUUAAACGUUUGAAUAUGAUAUGUUUAAGGGUGUAUGUGUGUGUUUUUAUAGAGAAGAAUAAAUCUCAAUCUAUGGCACUUUGGAAAGAAAUAGUAAUUAAUGAAUAGAUUUAAAUUUCUCAGAGGAAGAGAAAGCAAAUAAUGACAGAUGACUGUCAUUCUUUGACCAAAUAGCAAAAGGAACCUGAAAUAGAGGAAGUUCUGUAUUUUGCAGUUGGGAAAUUUAUUUCAUUUCAUUCUGUUUUACUUCACAUUCAUCACGAACACACAGCCUAUUUUCUGAGGGAGUUUCUUUCACCUGAUCACGGGUACCUGUACCACAAGAGAUCAACCCUGGAGAAGUCACUUAUUUCCUUUCUGUUUUAAGCAAACUAAGCAAAUAGCCUAUAUGUAACGAUGUUUUUAUAUUUCCAUAAAUAUUCUACAAUUGUGC
rnacentral:lncRNA from 1 species